UCCAGAGGGUGCGAGCGUUAAUCGGAAUUACUGGGCGUAAAGCGCACGUAGUCGGCUUUGCAAGUCGGUUGUGAAAUCCCCGGGCUCAACCUGGGAACUGCAUCCGAGACUGCAUUGCUAGAGUAUGGGAGAGGAAAGCGGAAUUUCUGGUGUAGCAGUGAAAUGCGUAGAUAUCAGAAGGAACAUCAGUGGCGAAGGCGGCUUUCUGGACCAAUACUGACGAUCAGGUGCGAAAGCGUGGGGAGCAAACAGG
rnacentral:rRNA from 1 species